CAUUCUCCUCUUGGAAAUGAGGAAUUCAGAGAGGCCAAAUUCCAAGGCCAGUUGGUCACACAAGAACAGCCUGUCUCCAGAGGCUGUGCCUUCCAUUACUGAGCCUCGUGACAGGCAGCAGAAGGUUGGGAUUUCCUGUCUCAUCUCACCUCAGCCCACCCUACCCUCAUCAGCUCUAAAGCCAAGGAAGCCAGAAGCAAGUGGUACUCAAAGAGACCCCAUCCCAUCCCUGAGUGAGCCUGGAUCUCCAGCACAGCCCUCAAGGUUCAAAUGUUUCCGACUGCCCAUUUCUUUCCUGCUUGGCUGACUCUGCCCAGAUACAGUAUGAAGUUACAGGAGUUCAAGAGAACUGGGGUGGGGUGGGGUGGCAAAGCAUCUGUUCUUGGACCUUUAUAGGGACACGAGGACUUUCUACUACACUGGGAGGCAGCA